CCUACGGGUGACAGCAGUCGAGAAUCAUUCACAAUGGGGGAAACCCUGAUGGGGCGACGCCGCGUGGGGGAAUGAAGGUCUCCGGAUUGUAAACCCCUGUCAUGUGGGAGCAAAUUAAAAAGAUAGUACCACAAGAGGAAGAGACGGCUAACUCUGUGCCAGCAGCCGCGGUAAUACAGAGGGCUCAAGCGUUGUUCGGAAUCACUGGGCGUAAAGCGUGCGUAGGCUGUUUCGUAAGUCGUGUGUGAAAGGCGCGGGCUCAACCCGCGGACGGCACAUGAUACUGCGAGACUAGAGUAAUGGAGGGGGAACCGGAAUUCUCGGUGUAGCAGUGAAAUGCGUAGAUAUCGAGAGGAACACUCGUGGCGAAGGCGGGUUCCUGGACAUUAACUGACGCUGAGGCACGAAGGCCAGGGGAGCGAAAAGGAUUAGAUACCCCGGUAGUC
rnacentral:rRNA from 1 species